rnacentral:misc_RNA from 1 species
CUGUAUUGCGGAUCUACUA